AUACAGAGGGUGCGAGCGUUAUCCGGAAUCAUUGGGUUUAAAGGGUCCGCAGGCGGUCAAUUAAGUCAGAGGUGAAAGCCCAUCGCUCAACGAUGGAACUGCCUUUGAUACUGGUUGACUUGAGUUAUACGGAAGUAGAUAGAAUAAGUAGUGUAGCGGUGAAAUGCAUAGAUAUUACUUAGAAUACCGAUUGCGAAGGCAGUCUACUACGUAUAUACUGACGCUGAGGGACGAAAGCGUGGGGAGCGAACAGGAUUAGAAACCCCAGUAGUCC
rnacentral:rRNA from 1 species